rnacentral:rRNA from 1 species
AUUGAACGCUGGCGGCAUGCCUUACACAUGCAAGUCGAACGGCAGCACGGGGCAACCUGGUGGCGAGUGGCGAACGGGUGAGUAAUGCAUCGGAACGUACCUUUCAGUGGGGGAUAACGUAGCGAAAGUUACGCUAAUACCGCAUAUUCUGUGAGCAGGAAAGCAGGGGAUCGCAAGACCUUGCGCUGAUUGCGCGGCCGAUGUCAGAUUAGCUAGUUGGUGAGGUAAAGGCUCACCAAGGCGACGAUCUGUAGCGGGUCUAGAGGAUGAUCCGCCACACUGGAACUGAGACACGGUCCAGACUCCUACGGGAGGCAGCAGUGGGGAAUUUUGGACAAUGGGGGCAACCCUGAUCCAGCCAUGCCGCGUGAGUGAAGAAGGCCUUCGGGUUGUAAAGCUCUUUCGGCCGGGAAGAAAUCGCACGGGCUAAUACCCUGUGUGGAUGACGGUACCGGAAUAAGAAGCACCGGCUAACUACGUGCCAGCCGCCGCAGUAAUAC